GGCUGCUCUGGGGGUGCGGUUCUCUCCCUUUGCAGGGAACCAUCUUUCCUCCCCAGUGGAACUGCCUUUGGGGUGGGGGGGUGGCUACGAGAGGAGCUCCUCUCAGCCCUUCCGCCUUUAUAUGUAAUCGGUGUAAACAACUCAUUAGGAAGGAGCAAAGAGAGUCUUGUACCUGAUUCGAACCCUAAACGUUGGAGACAGAACAAAACUGGGCAAUGUGCUGGGCGUCAGACUAGAUGUUCAUGAUGGUCCUUUCUGGCCUUUGAGUCUAUGAGAAUUCUGACCUCUCACACGUCUGGUUUGUUUCUCUUAGUUCACUUGAGUUCUGCUGGCAAUGAAAGUCGGGCUGACUGCCAGAAAUCCCUCCUUCCAACUAGAAAGCUGGUUUGGGAAGUGUUCGCUGCAGGAGUUGGGAGUCUGCAUGGCGGGAAUGGCCCUGUUAGGGUGAGGCCAGACUUCAUCUGCCUGGGGGAAGAAACAAGCUAGGGGCCCAAUCCUGCAAGUCCUAACUUCAGUGGAACUACUGGGAUGAGAAGGAUCACACCCUAAUUUAACACAAAACUAUAUUUCUAUUUCCUCUUUUACACACCUGGGUAUACAUACUGAAGCCUUGAAAACCAACUGCUUUUCCCAUUGCUGUUUCAGUUCCACCAAAUUCAUGUGAUUGCAUAGGUACAUGCUACUUCUGAGGAAUAAGCUUAUUUGUUUUUCAGUCAGAGGAGGGGCACUUGAUAAAUAUCGUGUCCUUGGUACAAUGAUUCUGAACUUUUAAAAUUCUCCUUUAAUUACAUUCACUGGUAUGUUACAGAAAACUGACACUUACUAUAUUUGACUUUUUCUUUCAAGACAACAAAGGAGAUUAAAGAAACCAGAAGCUCAGGAUUCUUUUAGGAAAGCCUGCAGGGGGACAAAAGAACAUUCAAAAUGUCCAAACAUGCUGAGACAAAAUGCUAAAUGGAUGUCUCACUGUAACACCAAACACCAUGUUAAAACCACCUGUCAGGGAGAAAACUUGUCACUUGUUGAUACGACUUGUCCCUUCCCUCUUCUCUGUCUUAGUCUCUCUCUGUUUAGUGCUGCUGAUAAAUCCUGAAUCCUAAGAAUAAUUGUGCUUCUGCUGAGUACAACUUGCGGCCCUGAUCCCACAAGCUUUGUUCACUCAGAAUCUCCUCAGACCUGCAAGAGAUGGAGAGCCUUACUCUGAGUUUCAGUGAUAUCAGAGUCUGACAUUACAACCUUCCUGGCCACACGAGCAGAUUUUAAGGUAGCCAUCCUACAGCAAAAAAACUUCAGGACCAGACUUCAAAGAGAAACUGCUGAGCUUCAGUUCAUUUGCAAAUCUGACACCAUCAGCUCAGGAUUAAACAAAGACUGUGAAUGGCUAGCCAACUACAAAAGCAGUUUCUCCUCCCUUGGUGUUCACACCUCAACUGCUAGAAGAGGGCCUCAUUCUCCCUGAUUGAACUAACCUCGUUAUCUCCAGACUGAUUCUGGCCUGCAUAUUUAUACCUGCCUCUGGAAAUUUCCAUUACAUGCAUCUGACGAAGUGGGUAUUCACCCACAAAAGCUUAUGCUCCAAUACAUCUGUUAGUCUAUAAGGAGCCACAGGACUCUUUGUUGCUUUUGACAUUACAGUCUCUCUUCAAGUGAGCUGCACUGCACUGCACUGCACUGCACCUUGAACAUACACUGCUGCAGUGCCUAGACCUGUCAGAGCCAUUUCAGUGCUGGCAGCAAACAAAUAAGAUCCUUCUUUGUCCCUGGUUGCUUAAGUAGCUCCCAAGGCACAGUAAGGUAACAGCAUGGGAGAGAAUGAGUGGUAGAGGAGAAUCAGAUGGCACCAGUGACAGCAAAGAGCCCUCCCCCAUCAGCCACAAAGCUUGGCUUUUAUCAGAUGUCAAGUCUAACAGAGCCAGUCUUGAUUCCUCACUGACGGAAAUAGAGAGAGAAGAGCAGAGUGGCCUAGUGUGAAAUGACCACCUUGCAGACAGAGACAUGACAGGAAUGGUUGGCCGCUCUUCGGAGCUUUGAGGGGAGCAGAGAGGAUGGAAAUGAGCAGGGAAAUAAGGCAAAAAUCAGAAUUCCAGUCUUAGAAUUUAUCUGAGCUGCAAUGGGUUCUUCUGCAUUCAAGAUCUUAAUAUGAAUCUCAACAUUGUAGAUGGUUUAAAUGUGUGCUCCUACCUCUGUUUAUCCAGGCAGGUCAAAGAAUGAAAGGAUGGCAUACUUGUGUGCACAUCCUCCUCCUCCUCCUUUGGAGAGAGAGGAAACUAGAGA